AUUUAUUGUACAUAAAUGAGAUCAAAUAUAACAAACAUCCGGAUGACGGAGUAUGCAAAAAGCUUGCAGAAAAUAUAGCAGUAUUUUAAACUAUACAUUAAUAACCUUGGUUUUAACUUGCUUUAGAGACUAUUCCCAUACUGUGGACAAUAAUGGGCAUGCAAGACACGUUCAAUUAUAAGAGCAGAAACAGAGACACACUGCACUUCAGUAUACUGUUGUGAUGUCCACCAUAAUACUUUAACCCACAAAUUCUUUCAAUAACCAUCAUCAUGCCUUGAAGGCAUGCAGCUUGCCUUUAUGAGGCAUGAAAUCAGGAGAAACAGCGAGCCUGAACUUUGAUUCAACUUGAGUGAAUGUUCUUGGUAAACACAUCGUGAGUUAGUCUUUUGCCUGUGCUCAGGUUAAAGUGUGUUCAGCUCUGUGGUGGGUCUGGUGGGUCUUUGUGUUCACAAAAAAACGCAUCUGCAGCAAACUGUUUAGAAAUGGUAACGCUGGCAUGUGCAAAGGUAUCAGCACCCUAAGUGUUAUAGAUUCUCAGACCAUUUUAAGUCAGAAUUUACUCCUUAGGACUCGAUCCAAAGGUCAAGAAUUGUCAUUAUGAAAAAGUUUUCCAGAGUAGAAUAAAUUAUUUGAUCCUUCCAACCUUGUGCUAACACUGAAAAAGCAUGGACUCAGUUGAAUGAGGGUGUGAAAAUGUAAAUACAAAACAUGCACAAUGGCCACUAAAAUGUCUGAAAUUUCAUGAAGUAAUUGCAGUUAAUGGGAAGUAUAGAAGGCAUUUCAUGAUCUAAAAGCCUAAGAUGCUCUCAGGUAGAACUGCUGGUAUCCUGGGCAGAAAAGCAAAGAUCAACCUCCAUCUGAUCGCAGGAUAUUUUAAAAGACACAGGUUACGGUGUAUGAUUCUACUACUCUACAGCAUUGAUCACACAAAUACAGUUGUUGAGCAUGAGUUUCAGGAGUGAUGUUCAAUCUACCAGAGCUCUCCAUUCCUCAUGUUCAUUUUUACAGUUUCAUUUCUUCCUACAAUGCCUACUUUCAUAUUUGUUUUAUCUUGUUCCACCCUUUUUGUAGGUUUUUGUACAGGCUCUUAAUCCCAAUCUUAAUCCCAUGUUCCCCAUGUUCUGCACAUAUCACUUUUGUACCCAAUAUGCGUGAUUGAACAGUGUAGACCAGGAUCAGGACUGGGAACCUGUGGUUUAGCCAAUUCUGAACUUUGGGCAUAAAGACAAAUUUUUUUCCCAUUUAUCAGUCUAGUUUUUUGUACAUUGAGGAAAUGAAUGUAUGGCAGUCUACUCUCUGACACUAAAUGACUUGCGUUGGAUUGAAAAGCUAAUAUGUCUGAGUGAAACAUCUACAGGUUGUUUUUAAGAUAUUUCUCACAAGCAAGAGUGCAGUUUCACAUAGUAUAAAAGAAUGACUAUGAAAGUUUAAUGAAAUAAAAGUACAAUAUAUUUAGUGACAUAAAGAGGUCCAGACAAGUUUUUAUCAGUUUAUAUAAUAAUAAUAAUAAUAAUAAUAAUAAUAAUAAUAAUAAUAAUAAUAAUAAUAAAUAAAAAUGAUGCAUUUCCUCAUAAAACUUAAACAUAAAACGAUUUAAUAAGUUUGUGCAAAAUACUAUGUAAAGUGUGUGUGCAUGUGUGUGAAUGUGUGUGCAUGUGUGCAUGUGCUUUUCAGCAUUUAAACUAACCACCACAUUAUUGAUGGCCUCCACAUGUCCUGAAGAUAACUGUGGAUAUACAUGGAUUGCUUUACCAGUAAGCUGUUCAGAUUUCCUCAUGAAAGAGUUUCAGCUUUUCCACAGACACCCGAGGGCAUACAGUGUUCAGGGUGACAGUGCGGUCUUUUAAAUCAAGGAAAGGCAGAAUUUCAAUACAUGAUAUGAUCCAUCAUGACAUUGAGGAUAGCUCAUAAGGACCAGUACAGAUGCGGGGAAAUGAGGGCAGGCAGGCAGGCAGGCAGGCAGGCACACUUUCCGUGGAGAUGCAAGUUCAACAGAUUAAUUUUAAAACAUUGGUGCAGAGUGCAAGUAACACACUGUGGCUUCUGCUAUGUCUAAAUAGUUGGCCGUCUGCAGUGGCUACCAUCUGUUUGUGGUGAGAAAGAAAUGGCAGAGUGGUGACCGCAAAAAGGCAAGGUAAUUGUGAUGGGUUCCACUGAGUCUCUGUCAUCCUCCACAAUCAUCAGCAACACGUGGCUAACUGGAGAAAUUACUGUCACAAUAAUCCCUCGGCUGGGCUUAAUCCCAUCUAAGAUAGGCAUUCUCUCUCUCUCUCUCUCUCUCUCUCUCUCUCUCUCUCUCUCUCUCUCUCUCUCUCUCUCUCUCUCUCUGCCAUUUUAGGCAUUUUUGGACUUAAUGUUUUGAACUGCUUUCCAAAUAAUUUCUUAGACAAAAAGCCACAGCUAAAGAGGGUUUAUGCUGGGUAGACAGAAUAAUAAUCUCAAACUUCUCAAAUAUUUGAUUCAAAUGUUCAAUUCUAUAAAAUUGUUUAAAUGAGGAAAAUUAUCUAAAAUCUGCUGGCCUUUUAUUUAUUCCUACUUCUUCAGUAACCAUUUUGUCCUGAUCGUGAGAUAUCCAGCAGACUGUUCUGGAAACAUUGAGUGCACUGAAGGAGAAUUCACUGGAUUGGAUGCCUGUUCAUAUCAGAGAACCAUGUGCACACUUACACUUCACAUCUUGGUGCAAAUUUUGAAUAGACAGUCCACCUUGAUUUUAAACAUUGAGAAGAAACACAUAGAAUCAUAAGGAGAACAUGCAUGUAGACUCCACAUAGACAGUAACCCACAGACAGUAGGCCUAGUGGUGGCUCAAACCGUUAAGGCUCUGGGUUUAUGAUCAGAAGGUUGAGGGAUGCAACUGUUAGGCCAAGCACUGGCAUGAUGCAACUGUUAGGCCCUUGAGCAAGGCCUUUCACCUGCUCUGCUCCAGGCAUGCUAUUUCAUGACUGGCCUUGUACUCUGACUACAAGCUAUGAUGUAUGAAAAUAAGAAUUUUGCUGUAAAGUAUAUGUGACAAAUAAAGGCUUCUUCUAACCUGAGCUAAGGAGCGAACAUGGGCCCUGUGACUGUAAGAUAGCAACACCACCAGUUGUGCCGCUGUCACCCAAACUAGUCUUGAUUUAAGGAAUAAUGCAAUUUUAUUUUUUAUCACUUAACUAUUUCUUUAAUUGUUAUUGCUUAUGAUUUUAUCUACAACAUAUGAAUUCUAAUGGAGACAUUUUGUGCAUUCUUUUUUUCUGAGCAGUUUCAAUCUGUCAUCUUCAUCAAGUGCUUUAUACUGGUCAGAGUCACAUUGUUUAUUAAUAAACUGGGUUCUCUAGUUUCUUCCCACCUACCAAAAAAUGGCAGAUGAUGAAUUGUUGCCCUACAAUGGACUUAUCAAUGAUGCAUUCCUGACUUGCAUCCAGUGUUCCCAGGAUAGGCUCCAGAUCCAUCGCAAAUCCCUGACCAUGAUAAAGCAGUUACUGAAAAUGAAGGAAUCAAUGAAUGUAACCAAAUGUCAGUGCCCUUGAAGGAAACUUUAGUCUCUAGUCAGUGCACAAAGAUCUUGGCUGAUCAGCUAUGUUUGGGGAGGGGGGGGUCAUGUGUAAAUGUAAAGAUUCCCACAAAAUCAAAGCUUUGGAGAACCAUUCGAAUAUUACACUCAUGUUAAACCCAAUACGAAUACCUGGAGAGGGUAACAACUUUGCUUUUGAACUUUCACAUUUAAAUAAAAAAGUUCAACCUAAUAAAACACUUGUAUUUUGGAUCUGGAUUGCAUGUGGCAUGAGCUCCAUGUGAAUGCUUCGUUUUUUUGGGGGUUUUUUUUGUUUUGGUUUUUUUUUGGG